rnacentral:lncRNA from 1 species
AACAAAGUUCAACCCUAUGUUUGAUCAACUGUAAGCCCCGCCCACCCUCCCAGACUCUAUCAUUGAGUGCCUGUAUGUAUGUGUUCUUACCUAGCAACUGGUUGUAUGGAAUCACUCCUGAACUUUGUGACAAAGCAGAGUGCUCAUCUUUUCAGAUAACUAAUCAUUGCCCUGGGUGGUUCUCUUGAUCAAAGGAUAGGAUUUAGGAAAUUCACAAACACAUCAAAUACUACAGAUAACAAGUAAUCUGUGACCUCUACAAGCAUUGAUCUUUGUGGUCUAUCUCUAAAAGGAAUCUUUGCUGUAUAACAAUGGCUGGAGGAGGAGCAGGUAUUCUCUGGGCGAUCAUUUGGUGCGUCAUUCUCAUCUUCUUCGGCUGGCCGAUCGGUUUCUUCGUGGCCUGGCUCUGGGUAUGCAUCAUGCCGUUUGCAGUCUGUAUAAGCUUCUGUAAAGACAUCAUGGAACUCUUACAAAAACUGGUUAUGUUGCCGCAGACCUGUGCAGAGGGCAUGGUUGGCCAGAAGCCAGUGUGCGGCUAAACUUUCAGAGAUGCAACUUCAUUGCGCAAAGAAACUUACAAUUUUCCACAUUUUCCAGGCUCUCAGUGACGCUAGCUGCUGCCAUUUGAUGUCCCAAUAUGCUUUCGGAAGAUUGCUUCCAGUGAUUUUAUAUAAUUUGUAAUUACACAAUCAUAUUUAUUAUAAUUAUGUUCCAUAUUAGCCCUCCUGCAUCUAAUCUAAUGUAUGUUAAUUAUGCAUUCAAUAUAUUUGUUUAAUUUCAUUUAUUAUCUGUAUAAAAUUAUAUACACUUAAAAUAUUGUAUCAAACCAUAUUAUGUUCAUGAAAAUGUAUGAUGAAAAAAAGAAAAAAAAAGAUGCAGAAACCAAUAAAUAAAAUAAAAUCAAAUCAAAUCAACUAAAACUAUUUUUAACAACAUUAUAAGUGUAGUUGCUUCUAAUUACUGGUAUAGAAAAAGCUUCCUAAUGCAUGCAGUUUGUAAAUACAGGUUCAAAGUUUUCUAUACAUUCUAUUUCUAUAUACAAGGAUCGACCAUGCAUAUACUUUUGCAGGUAUUGCAGGUAUACGUUUAUGCAGGCCUAGUUACGACUAUAUGCAUGAACAGAUGCAUAUUCAUUACCAUGCGUAUGUAUUGCUCGAAAGAAAGCUUAAUUAUUCCAGUAUGCAAAAGAUAAUAUUCCUGGUAUGAAGCAGCACUGUAUGCUUGUGUAAUGAAAGAAUCAAAUGGCAUAGAUUUCAAGGUGUACAUAAACCAAUGAAUGAAUCAAAUUAAUAGAGUAUUUUUAUGAUUGAUAGAUUGACUUCUAGUCGAUAUUACAUAAUUGGGCAUGAAAUCAGGGUAUAUUUUAUUUUAACUACCGUAUUCAUUGCAAAUCACACCAAAUUUAUAUGUUAGGUAUCAUUUUUAUGAUUACUUCUUUCAUUUCAAAUCAUAUAAAAUUUUGAAGGUAAACAGGCCAGGCAUUAUGCACCUGUUAAUUACUUAAGCAAUUAAGGAGAUAUUGGCAGUAAGUAAAAAUGUUAUCUUCUUUAGAGUUGUUAUACAUUUAUAUAUACCUCAUUUUUGUUUUAUGAUGUUUUCUACAUAAUGCUAUGCAUGCAUUUCAUCUCAGUAAAUUUACCUAGGCUCUACAUAGUAAAACUUCAGUUUCAUUAUAUGAAAUAUAUCGCUUGUUUGAGUAUUAAUAUACUUUAAUGACUACCUAGUGUACCGGUACUGUUUAAAACAAGAACGAAAUAUGGACCUUAUAAGCUUAUCAUUCUUUUAUGUGACUGAUAUUGCCCCAAAGGACUGGAUAUGUAGAUGUUCCUCAUGUACAUAGCAAACAUUUAAACCCAAGGAUGAAUGCCUGAUAACAUACAAUAUGCUGCUGCAGUUAUCUUGUGUCUAUCCUUUCUACAUAAUUCCCAGUCAAAGGAAAGGAAUAGAAUAUUGACAUUUUUUAAUCUCUGGCUUUUUAAUGUGUAUUUAAGAAGAAAAAAAAUAUAUAUAUUCAGUUUACUGUUAUUGUUUUCUUUCAAAACAUGCCAUUUUGUAGACAAUACACGGCAUGUUGAUUCUGUCAAAAGACAAAACAUGCCAUUUUGUAGACAAUGAAUAUUCAGUUAUUUUGUUGUUUACCGUAAAAUGAUGUUCUCUAUCAAACAUGCCAUGUAGUAGCUGGUAGGCACAAGACCUCAACAGCAUAUUAUUAUGUACCCAAGUGCGGCUUCAAACAUGUACGUCCAACACUGCUGUGCCAAUAUAUCUUUGUAUGAGAUAAGUAAUAAUGUUUGUUUUUCAUUAAUUGAUUUAAUUUUGAAUAAACAGAAUGAUUGAUUUGUAUAGUUA